rnacentral:lncRNA from 1 species
GCCCAGAGAGGCUGUAGAUGCUCUGUCUCUGGAGAUGUUCAAGACCAGGUUGGAUGAGGCCCUGGUUUAGUUCCAGAUCUGGAGAUUGGUAACAUUGCCUGUGGCAGGGGAGUUGGAACGUGAUGAUUCUUGAGGUCCAUUCCAACUGAAGCCAUUCUAUGAUUCUAUCUAUAAUAACAUCAAGUGAAAAGGGAAUACAUGCCAACUUUUGCUAUAUUAAAUUAAAUACUAAAAUUACACUUUAGUGUAUGCAAGUUAAAAUGUUGUUUCCUGAGACUUCUCCCUUUUCUUUUCAACACAGUGGGACUCUGCAGCGUCAGCCAGAUUUGAUUUUGAUUGCCAGCUUUUCAAAAAGGCUGUGCUGGUGGAAGACCAAGCCUGGAGAAUUUGUUGUGAAGUGGAAACCUCCACUGGCAUAAUGCUCAAUUUCUGAGCAGUAACUGAAGCAGAAGAAUAUAUUACCAAUUAGAUGCAACUGAUCUGUAAACUUCACUGUCUGUAUUGUCCUGUAUCAUCAAUCCCACGCCAUUUUUAUUUUCUCUUUGUAAUAACCUAUCUGGGAAAAAUACACAGUAUAGUAAAAUGCUUAUUUAUAGUCAGAUUCUCAGAAACAUCUGAAACAGAAUGAACCCAGUUCAACACACCUCAG